rnacentral:ribozyme from 1 species
GGUGCAGUGACCGUAGAGGUUAUUCCAGGUCAAGUAUUCAGCGAUACUAUCAUAUAUCUACUAUCAUCAAUCAUGUCCGCAGCAAAUAAUAUUUUGACGGGGGUUAU